rnacentral:rRNA from 1 species
AGGGUUCGAUUAUGGCUCAGAACGUACGCUGGCGGCACGCCUAACACAUGCAAGUCGAACGAAGUAGCAAUACUUAGUGGCAGACGGGUGAGUAACAUGUAGGUAUCUGCCCUUUGGCCUGGAAUAACACGAGGAAACUUGUGCUAAUACCGGAUAAGUCUUUACAGAGAAAGCUUUAUGCACCAUUGGAUGAGCCUGCACUUGAUUAGUUUGUUGGUGGGGUAAUGGCCUACCAAGACUGUGAUCAAUAGCUGAUUUGAGAGGAUGAUCAGCCACAUUGGGACUGAGACACGGCCCAAACUCCUACGGGAGGCAGCAGUGGGGAAUCUUGCACAAUGGAGGAAACUCUGAUGCAGCGAUGCCGCGUGAGUGAAGAAGGCCUUUGGGUUGUAAAGCUCUUUCGUCGGGGAAGAAAAUGACUGUACCCGAAUAAGAAGGUCCGGCUAACUUCGUGCCAGCCGCCGCGGUAAUACA